rnacentral:rRNA from 1 species
GAAACUUAAAGGAAUUGGCGGGGGAGCACCACAAGGCGUGAAGCUUGCGGUUCAAUUGGAGUCAACGCCGUGAACCUUACCGGGGGCGACAGCAGGAUGAAUGCCAGAUUGAAGGUCUUGCUGGACAAGCUGAGAGGAGGUGCAUGGCCGUCGCCAGUUCGUGCCGUGAGGUGUCCUGUUAAGUCAGGCAACGAUCGAGACCCGCGCCCCUAGUUGCUACCGAGGAAGUUUUCCAAGGGGCACUCUAGGGGGACUGCCGUCGACAAGACGGAGGAAGGAGCGGGCCACGGCAGGUCAGUAUGCCCCGAAUCCCCCGGGCUACACGCGAGCUGCAAUGACAGGGACAAUGGGUUCCGACCUUGAAAAAGGAAGGCAAUCCCUAAACCCUGCCUCAGUUGGGAUCGAAGGCUGGAACCCGCCUUCGUGAACAUGGAAUGCCUAGUAAUCGCGCGUCAUCAUCGCGCGGUGAAUACGUCCCCGCUCCUUGCACACACCGCCCGUCGCUCCAUCCGAGUGGGGUUUGGGUGAGGCGUGGUCUUCUUGGCUGCGUCGAAUCUGAGUUCCGCAAGGAGGGAGAAGUCGUAACAA